rnacentral:rRNA from 1 species
AGUACGGAGGGUCCGAGCGUUAUCCGGGAAUCAUUGGGUUUAAAGGGUCCGCAGGACGGGCGAAUUAAAGUCCGAGAGGUCGAAAAUCCCAUAGACUCAACUAUGGAACUGCCUUUGAUACUGGCUGUCUUGAGUUAUACGGAAGUAGAUAGAAUAUGUGGUGUAGCGGUGAAAUGCAGUAGAUAUCGACAUAGAAUACCGAUUGCGAAGGCAGUCUACUACGGUAUAUAACU